rnacentral:rRNA from 1 species
CCUACGGGUGGCAGCAGUCGAGAAUCAUUCACAAUGGGGGAAACCCUGAUGGUGCGACGCCGCGUGGGGGAAUGAAGGUCUUCGGAUUGUAAACCCCUGUCAUGUGGGAGCGAAUUAAAAAGAUAGUACCACAAGAGGAAGAGACGGCUAACUCUGUGCCAGCAGCCGCGGUAAUACAGAGGUCUCAAGCGUUGUUCGGAAUCACUGGGCGUAAAGGGUGCGUAGGCUGUUUCGUAAGUCGUGUGUGAAAGGCGCGGGCUCAACCCGCGGACGGCACAUGAUACUGCGAGACUAGAGUAAUGGAGGGGGAAGCGGAAUUCUCGGUGUAGCAGUGAAAUGCGUAGAUAUCGAGAGGAACACUCGUGGCGAAGGCGGGUUCCUGGACAUUAACUGACGCUGAGGCACGAAGGCCAGGGGAGCGAAAGGGAUUAGAUACCCCUGUAGUC